UUAUGCAUAUCAAUGAGGCCUGUUAUGAUAAUAUUGUAAUAAAACUAUGUCGAUGUUUAUCUUAUUUCAUGAUCCGUUCAGUUUAUUAACAUUACAUGUUCAAUCGGUGUUCAAAUCGCUCGAAAUUUUGAACACCUCGCGUUAAAAAAAAUAUACCGGGGUACCAAAUACCGGAAACAGAUAUCGGCUGGUGAUUUAGGCGGUUAAACGAAAAAUGGAUAGAUAUAAGGAAGAACACUGGAGAAGGGACUUCUAUCUCACAUGAACACGAAAGAAGAAUCGUUAAGUUGGAAUGUUUGAAUUAGAAACCGGUAGCCAAUAAGCCCACGAAGGUCAUUUCUGCAUGCUAUAAAGUGUUGGAAAAAAGAAAGAUGUCAUAAAGGAUAUAUAGGCUCAUAGACAUAACUUGUUGUGGAGAAUUUUGAUAUUGGAAGUUGAUGAUAACACAUAAAAUGCCACCCAGUUGAUAGCUUUAAGUGAAGAUGCACUGAAAAGUUGAGCGUACAUUGUGUGUGAUCGUACAAGAACUGUUGGAAUUUGCAAACUUUUAAACUUUCAUUGUGACAAAUAUCUAUAUCAUAAACUAUCUACAUUGACAUGUUUUUUGGUUAGGAUACACAUGAUGUAGCUACUAUAUCUUGUCAUGUAGAAGAAAAUAAUUAUUUGUGAUAUAUUUAAGUCGGUUUAAAAACAUUAUUUAUGUGAUUUCAUUGACUGUUACUUGUGAUAUCAUAAGGUAUUCUU